GGGCGGGUGGUCUAGUGGCUAUGACGCCGCACUCAGAAUCGAUUGUAGAUUCUGAGGGCGAAGCUCACAACGCGGAAGUCGGCGGUUCGAAUCCGUCCCCGCCCACCA
rnacentral:tRNA from 1 species